rnacentral:rRNA from 1 species
GAUGAACGCUGGCGGCGUGCCUAAUACAUGCAAGUCGAGCGAAUGGAUUAAGAGCUUGCUCUUAUGAAGUUAGCGGCGGACGGGUGAGUAACACGUGGGUAACCUGCCCAUAAGACUGGGAUAACUCCGGGAAACCGGGGCUAAUACCGGAUAACAUUUUGAACCGCAUGGUUCGAAAUUGAAAGGCGGCUUCGGCUGUCACUUAUGGAUGGACCCGCGUCGCAUUAGCUAGUUGGUGAGGUAACGGCUCACCAAGGCAACGAUGCGUAGCCGGCCUGAGGUGGUGAUCGGCCACACUGGGACUGAGACACGGCCCAGACUCCUACGGGAGGCAGCAGUAGGGAAUCUUCCGCAAUGGACGAAAGUCUGACGGAGCAACGCCGCGUGAGUGAUGAAGGCUUUCGGGUCGUAAAACUCUGUUGUUAGGGAAGAACAAGUGCUAGUUGAAUAAGCUGGCGCCUUGACGGUACCUAACCAGAAAGCCACGGCUAACUACGUGCCAGCAGCCGCCGUAA